AUUGAACGCUAGCGGCAGGCUUAAUACAUGCAAGUCGAGGGGCAGCAUGAUCGUAGCAAUACAAUUGAUGGCGACUGGCAAACGGGUGCGGAACACGUACACAACCUUCCAAUAAGUGGGGCAUAGCCCAGAGAAAUUUGGAUUAAUACCCCGUAACAUAACGAUGUGGCAUCACAUUGUUAUUAUAGAUUUUUCGCUUAUUCAUGGGUGUGCGGCUGAUUAGAUAGUUGGCGGGGUAACGGCCCACCAAGUCUACGAUGAGUAGCUGAUGUGAGAGCAUGAUCAGCCACACGGGCACUGAGACAAGGGGCCGACGCCUACGGAAGGCAGCAGUAAGGAAUAUUGGACAAUGGACGCAAGUCUGAUCCAGCCAUGCCGCGUGAAGGAUUAAGGUCCUCUGGAUUGGAGACUUCUUUUAUAAGGGACGAAAAAGGGCUUUUCUAAGUCGUCUGACGGUACCUUAUGAAUAAGCACCGGCUAACUCCGUGCCAGCAGCCGCAGUAAUAC
rnacentral:rRNA from 1 species